UACAGAGACUGCAAGCGUUAUUCGGGUUCACUGGGCGUAAAGGGUGCGCAGGCGGCCAAGUGUGUUAGGCGUGAAAGCCCGGGGCUUAACCCCGGAAUUGCACCUAAAACUACAUGGCUAGAGCAUUGGAGAGGGUAGCGGAAUUCACGGUGUAGCAGUGAAAUGCGUAGAUAUCGUGAGGAACACCAGAGGCGAAGGCGGCUACCUGGACAAUUGCUGACGCUCAGGCACGAAAGCGUGGGGAGCAAAAGGG
rnacentral:rRNA from 1 species